rnacentral:piRNA from 1 species
UGACGAUGUUUGGAUGGUUGAAUU